CCUACGGGGGGCAGCAGUGAGGAAUAUUGGUCAAUGGACGAGAGUCUGAACCAGCCAAGUAGCGUGAAGGAUGACUGCCCUAUGGGUUGUAAACUUCUUUUAUAUGGGAAUAAAACGUUCCACGUGUGGGAUUUUGUAUGUACCAUAUGAAUAAGGAUCGGCUAACUCCGUGCCAGCAGCCGCGGUAAUACGGAGGAUCCGAGCGUUAUCCGGAUUUAUUGGGUUUAAAGGGAGCGUGGGUGGAUUGUUAAGUCAGUUGUGAAAGUUUGCGGCUCAACCGUAAAAUUGCAGUUGAAACUGGCAGUCUUGAGUACAGUAGAGGUGGGCGGAAUGCGUGGUGUAGCGGUGAAAUGCUUAGAUAUCACGAAGAACUCCGAUUGCGAAGGCAGUUCACUGGACUGCAACUGACACUGAGGCUCGAAAGUGUGGGUAUCAAACAGGAUUAGAUACCCGGGUAGUC
rnacentral:rRNA from 1 species